rnacentral:rRNA from 1 species
AGCGAACGCUGGCGGCAGGCUUAACACAUGCAAGUCGAGCGGGCAAUUUAUCUAGCACUGAUUACUUCAAAUGGAAAUCAUAAGUGUAAUCAUGAAUUUCUACCUUUAAUAAAGAAAAAGAAAUUCAUGUACGCAAAUAGUGAUAACACAUUUUAGUGGAGUGAUGAGUGCUGGAUAAAUUGCUAGCGGCGGACGGGUGCGUAACACGUGGGUAACCUGCCCCUAUCACUGGGAUAACACACUGAAAAGUGUGCUAAUACCAGAUAACAUAAGCUUUUGGCAUCAUUAGCUUAUCAAAGAAUUUCGGAUAGGGAUGGGCCCGCGUCUGAUUAGCUAGUUGGUGAGGUAACGGCUCACCAAGGCAACGAUCAGUAGCGACCUGAGAGGUGAUCGGCCACACUGGAACUGAGACACGGUCCAGACUCCUACGGGAGGCAGCAGUGGGGAAUAUUGCACAAU